rnacentral:rRNA from 1 species
UACGUAGGGUGCGAGCGUUAAUCGGAAUUACUGGGCGUAAAGCGUGCGCAGGCGGUUUUGUAAGCCAGAUGUGAAAUCCCCGGGCUCAACCUGGGAAUGGCAUUUGGGACUGCAAGGCUUGAGUGCGGCAGAGGAGACUGGAAUUCCUGGUGUAGCAGUGAAAUGCGUAGAUAUCAGGAGGAACACCGAUGGCGAAGGCAGGUCACUGGGCCGCAACUGACGCUGAGGAGCGAAAGCAUGGGGAGCGAACAGG